ensembl:lncRNA
GUGGAUUGUUGGUAGACAGGUAGUUCUGUAGUUGUAUCUAGUCAGACUAGAAGGGUUCAUGCAGAUUGUUGGUAGAGAGGUAGUUCUGUAGUUGUAUCUAGCCAGACUAGAAGGGUUCAUGCAGAUUGUUGGUAGAGAGGUAGUUCUGUAGUUGUAUACAGCCAGACUAGAAGGGUUCAUGCAGAUUGUUGGUAGAGAGGUCGUUCUUUGCAUUUCGACUUUGAAAGAUAUAUUAUAUAAUUGAAUACAGUGAAUUUCAAAUGCCUCUUCGAUUCUCUAUUAGGUGUAGUCUAAUCUAGUCUAUCCAAAUAUACAUGUGUACAGAAAACCAGCGUGACAUGUAAUCUAGUAGACGGGACACUUCUUCAAUAACAGCAGCUAGUCAACCACCUCGAUAGCAUGCAUCUGACAUUACAUUGUCAAGACUGGCGUUGUGUGCGCCAUGCUCUACCAACUGAACUACAGGAAACUAUUCUCACCUCAUGUAUCCUCCUGUAUUCACAUGUAGCUACAGGUCUGCAUUAAACUACAGGUCUGCAUUAAACUACAGGUCUGCAUUAAACUACAGGUCUGCAUUAAACUACAGGUCUGCAUUAAACUACUACUAAUGUACAUAUUCACAUGUAGCUACAGGUCUGCAUUAAACUAUUCUAACAGUAUAUAUUCAUAAUGUACAUAUUCACAUGUAGCUAUAGGUCUGCAUUAAACUAUUCUAACAGUAUAUAUUCAUAAUGUACAUAUUCACAUGUAGCUAUAGAUCUGCAUAGACGA